CAUUAGUCCUCUAGGGAAGCACAUCACUCUUGAGGCUUUGCUUCAACUUCACUGCUUCUGGAGUCUCAUCUUGAAUAAAAGAGGACCCAGUCAACUAUGAAGUUUCUUGUCUUUGCCUUUCUCUUGGCUUUCAUGGUUUCCAUGAUUGGAGCUGAUUCAUCUGAAGAG